rnacentral:rRNA from 1 species
GACAGAGGAUGCAAGCGUUAUCCGGAAUGAUUGGGCGUAAAGCGUCUGUAGGUGGCUUUUUAAGUCCGCCGUCAAAUCCCAAGGCUCAACCUCGGACAGGCGGUGGAAACUACCAAGCUGGAGUACGGUAGGGGGCAGAGGGAAUUUCCGGUGGAGCGGUGAAAUGCGUAGAGAUCGGAAAGAACACCAACGGCGAAAGCACUCUGCUGGGCCGACACUGACACUGAGAGACGAAAGCUAGGGGAGCGAAUGGG